rnacentral:rRNA from 1 species
GUGGAUUAGAUACCCUGGUAGUCCACGCCCUAAACGAUGUCAACUAGGUGUUGGGAGGGUUAAACCUCUUAGUGCCGUAGCUAACGCGUGAAGUUGACCGCCUGGGGAGUACGGCCGCAAGGCUAAAACUCAAAGGAAUUGACGGGGACCCGCACAAGCGGUGGAUGAUGUGGAUUAAUUCGAUGCAACGCGAAAAACCUUACCUACCCUUGACAUGUCAGGAAUCCCGAAGAGAUUUGGGAGUGCCCGAAAGGGAGCCUGAACACAGGUGCUGCACGGCUGUCGUCAACU